GACGAACGCUGGCGGCGUGCUUAACACAUGCAAGUCGAACGGAAAGGCCUGCUUUCUCUUGUGGAUUGCGGGUACUCGAGUGGCGAACGGGUGAGUAACACGUGAGUGAUCUGCCCCCAACUUGGGUAUAAGCCUGGGAAACUGGGUCUAAUUCCCGAUAGGACUGCAGGGUGGUGCCUGUGGUGGAAAACGAUUUUCUAGUGGUUGGGGAUGAGCUCGCGGCCUAUCAGCUUGUUGGUGGGGUAAUGGCCUACCAAGGCGGCGACGGGUAGCCGGCCUGAGAGGGUGGACGGCCACAUUGGGACUGAGAUACGGCCCAGACUCCUACGGGAGGCAGCAGUGGGGAAUAUUGCACAAUGGGCGGAAGCCUGAUGCAGCGACGCCGCGUGGGGGAUGACGGCCUUCGGGUUGUAAACUCCUUUCGACCGCGAGGAAGCCACCUGGUUGGAAGGGUGGUGACGGUAGUGGUAGAAGAAGCACCGGCUAACUACGUG
rnacentral:rRNA from 1 species